UGGUGCUGGCAGUCAUGAGUUUGACUUUGUUAAUCCAAGUAACCUUAUUUGAGAAAUUCCUUGCUUCCUCACCCGUGUCUCCAAUCAGUGGAGGUUAUUAAAUCUCAAAAUAUGCCACAAUGCACAUAAAAAGUAACCAGCAGCAAGAAAAGCACAAGGAGUUGAAAAGCAACUACCAUAUCCAUCCCAUCAGGACUAUGUGAAUAAUUUGUCAUGAAUAAUUUAGAGACAGAAUGUGUUGUUUUUUUUUGUGUUCAGAAAUAGUGUCCAAAUAAACUCCAGCUUUUGGUGUAUCCAUGUAAUGCCUGAAAUUAGGCUCUGUACAAUUCGUUUUUGCAAGUAUUCUUCUGAUCCUCUGCUGGUUUAUAAGUAUUCCUUAGUUACUAUUCAGUAUUUGUGUGCCAUCUUUUCAAGAAAUAAGCACAUUGUUUUAUGUCAUAUCAGGCAAUUAGAAAAUGCUUCAGUGUCUGCUUUUUGUAUAAAUAGCCACAAUUAUUCAUUAUUAUUAACUAGUAUCAUUAUCUACUAAUAGGUAGUACCUAGCUACUACUCUAUGAAGUAACCUACUAACCUACCGACUAGGUUUAUUUACACGUGCUAAUAGUUCAUCACAUAUCUAAGACAGUGCAAUACAGACACCUUUGGCUGUAUACUUUCCAGGGCAGGUUACUAUGGAUACUGGGGCACUUUGAGAACACAUCUCAGAUAAACUGUGCCUCUAGACUGGUCAUCUCCUUUCUUUCCUGGCAUAUGCACCUUCUUUUCUGGGAGCAGCAACAGACUUGGUCCAAUUUUCUUCCUGUCUUCUCCCAGUCAGAAGUGUCAUGGUGACAUUUGUAUUCUACCUGUCUUUCUUACUAGCCUCUUUCAGCCGCUGUAUUUGUAUAACUAAACUAUACUCACCUUCACACGGAUCCCCUACCGAUGCUCAGUAUUUUGCUGACACUGUGAUAAUGAGUAUCCUACAACCACUGCCACCACACACUAUCGUUCCAGCUCACAAGCAGCAUACAGUUGUCUCCUCCCACUCUGCAGGGCUAUGUAAAGAAAAGAUUCAUCCAACUCACAUGAAACAACCAAAGUCUUACCACAAACCUCAGGGAAUAUGGGAUAUAUGUUCCCCCACUGAUGUAAUCCACGCUUUUUUUCCUCCUAUUUUUUCUUCUUGUCUUUUGGUAGACAUGCUCUCUUCACCUUAA
rnacentral:lncRNA from 1 species